rnacentral:rRNA from 1 species
CCUACGGGGUGCAGCAGUGGGGAAUAUUGCACAAUGGGCGCAAGCCUGAUGCAGCCAUGCCGCGUGUAUGAAGAAGGCCCUAGGGUUGUAAAGUACUUUCAGUCGGGAGGAGGCGUUGAUGCUAAUAUCAUCAACGAUUGACGUUACCGACAGAAGAAGCACCGGCUAACUCCGUGCCAGCAGCCGCGGUAAUACGGAGGGUGCAAGCGUUAAUCGGAAUUACUGGGCGUAAAGCGCACGCAGGCGGUUGAUUAAGUUAGAUGUGAAAUCCCCGGGCUUAACCUGGGAAUGGCAUCUAAGACUGGUCAGCUAGAGUCUUGUAGAGGGGGGUAGAAUUCCAUGUGUAGCGGUGAAAUGCGUAGAGAUGUGGAGGAAUACCGGUGGCGAGGGCGGCCCCCUGGACAAAGACUGACGCUCAGGUGCGAAAGCGUGGGGAGCAAAUAGGAUUAGAUACCCCCGUAGUC